rnacentral:rRNA from 1 species
GUAAGUUCCGACCUGCACGAAUGGCGUAACGAUGGCCACACUGUCUCCUCCCGAGACUCAGCGAAGUUGAAGUGUUUGUGAUGAUGCAAUCUCCCCGCGGCUAGACGGAAAGACCCCAUGAACCUUUACUGCAGCUUUGCAUUGGACUUUGAACCGAUCUGUGUAGGAUAGGUGGGAGGCUGUGAAGCGUGGACGCCAGUCU